UACGUAGGGCGCAAGCGUUAUCCGGAAUUAUUGGGCGUAAAGAGCUCGUAGGCGGUUUGUCGCGUCUGCCGUGAAAGUCCGGGGCUCAACUCCGGAUCUGCGGUGGGUACGGGCAGACUAGAGUGCAGUAGGGGAGACUGGAAUUCCUGGUGUAGCGGUGAAAUGCGCAGAUAUCAGGAGGAACACCGAUGGCGAAGGCAGGGUCUCUGGGCUGUAACUGACGCUGAGGAGCGAAAGCAUGGGGAGCGAACAGG
rnacentral:rRNA from 1 species